AGAAGAUGGCGGAAGGCAGAGCAGUGGACCUAGACACCCAGCGUUCUGACAUCGCAAUGGUGUUCAAAACCCCACUCCGGAAAGGGGACACCUGGUAUCUAGUAGAUAUUCAGUGGUUCAAACAGUGGAAAAAAUAUGUUGGCUUUGACAGUUGGGACAAAUACCAGAUGGGAGGUCAAAAUGUUUAUCCUGGACCCAUCGAUAACUCUGGACUUCUCAAAGAUGGCGACGCGCAGUCACUUAAGGAGCACCUUAUGGAUGAAUUGGAUUACAUACUCUUGCCAACUGAGGGCUGGAAUAAACUUGUCAGCUGGUACACGCUGAUAGAUGGCCAGGAGCCAAUAGCAAGAAAGGUGAUAGAACAGGGUAUGUUUGUAAAGCACUGCAAAGUAGAAGUCUACCUCACAGAACUGAAGCUCUGUGAGAAUGGGAACAUGAACAAUGUUGUAACUCGGAGGUUUAGCAAAGCUGACACAAUAGAUACAGUUGAGAAGGAAAUAAGAAAAAUAUUCAAUAUUCCAGAUGAGAAGGAGGCCAGACUGUGGAACAAGUAUAUGAGCAACACUUUUGAGCCACUGGAUAAGCCAGACAGCACCAUCCAGGAUGCCGGCCUAUACCAAGGACAGGUGUUAGUGAUAGAACAAAAAAAUGAAGAUGGAACAUGGCCCAGGUGCAUACAAUUUUACAACUUUACCAAAGAUCUCUCCUUCAUCUCUAUCGAUUAAUUAUAACAACAUCAACAACAGAAAUGUGAAAAACUCAAAUUAUUGUCUCCCAUCAUAUACUGCUUAUAAGAACCUGGAAGAAACAAUGAACAGCCAGGCCUGUGUGGCUUAAGUAACUUGGGAAAUAUGUGUUUCAUGAACUCAGCCAUUCAGUGUUUGAGCAAUACACCUCCCCUUACUGAAUAUUUCCUCAAUGAUAAGUACCAAGAAGAGCUGAAUUUUGACAAUCCCUUAGGAAUGAGAGGUGAAAUAGCUAAAUCAUAAGCUGAACUCAUCAAACAGAUGUGGUCUGGAAAGUUUAGCUACGUCACUCCAAGAGCAUUUAAGACACAGGUAGGACAUUUUGCACCUCAGUUCCCUGGAUAUCAACAGCAAGACUGCCAAGAACUACUAGCUUUCCUAUUGGAUGGAUUGCAUGAGGAUUUGAACAGAAUUAGGAAAAAAAAAACAUAUAUACAGUUAAAAGAUGCUGAUGGGAGGCCAGACACGGUGGUUGCUGAAGAAGCCUGGGAAAACCAUUUAAAGCUAAAUGAUUUCAUCAUAGUAGACAUAUUCCAUGGCCUUGUCAAAUCUACGUUAGUGUGUCCUGAGUGUGCUAAGAGCUCGGUGACCUUUGACUCUUUCUGUUACUUGACUCUUCCAUUGCCUAUGAAAAAAGAACGUAGCUUGGAAGUUUAUUUAGUUAGAAUGGAUCCACUUGCUAAACCUAUGCAAUACAAAGUUAUUGUGCCCAAAGUUGGAAAUAUACUAGAUCUUUGUACAGCACUGUCUGCUUUGUCGGAAGUACCUGCAGAUAAGAUGAUAGUCACUGACAUAUACAAUCAUAGAUUUCACAGGAUAUUUGCCGUGGAUGAAAACCUGAGGAGUAUUAUGGAGCGGGAUGAUAUUUACGUGUUUGAAAUUAACAUCAACAGGACAGAAGACACAGAACAUCUAGUUAUUCCUGUUUGCCUAAGAGAAAAAUUCAGACACUCAAGUUACACUCACCAUAAUGGCUCUUCACUGUUUGGCCAGCCUUUUCUUAUGGCUAUACCAAUGAAACAAUACUGAAGAUAAACUCUAUAAUCUUCUACUCUUGAGAAUGUGCCGGUAUGUCAAGAUGUCUGCUGAAACUGAGGAAACAGAUGGACACCUAUGCUGCUGUGAGGACCAGAAUAUUAAUGGGAAUGGGCCAAAUGGCAUACAUGAAGAGGGUUCACCAAGUGAGAUGGAAACCGACGAACCAAAUGAUUAGUCCAGCCAGGAUCAAGAGCUUCCCUCAGAGAACGAGAACAGUCAGUCUGAAGAUUCAGUCGGAGGAGAUAACUAUUCUGAAAAUGGAUUGUGCACUGAAGAAACAUGCAAAGGUCAACUUAUGGGACUCAAAAAGUGCUUGUUUACAUUCCAGUUCCAACAACUUAGGCAACAAUGACAUCAACUACAUCAAAGACGACACCAGUCACAUCCAAUUCGAUGACAGGCAGCUUUGGCUGGACAAAAGAUCUUUUCUUGCUUUGGACAGGGACCCUGACUUGAAGAAGAGAUACUUUGAUGAGAAUGCUGCAGAGGAUUUUGAAAAACAUGAAAGUGUGGAAUACAAACCUCCAAAAAGGCCCUUUGUGAAGUUAAAAGACUGCAUUGAGCUCUUCACCACCAAGGAGAAGCUGGGUGCUGAAGAACCCUGGUAUUGUCCAAAUUGUAAAGAGCAUCACCAAGCCACAAAGAAAUUAGAUCUGUGGUCCCUGCUUCCAGUUCUUGUGGUGCAUCUCAAGAGAUUCUCCUUGUAGUCGCUACAUGAGAGACAAGCUGGAUACAUUAGUCGAUUUUCCCAUCAGUGACUUGGAUAUGUCAGAAUUCCUAAUUAAUCCAAAUGCAGGCCCUUGCCACUAUAAUUUGAUUGCUGUUUCCAACCACUAUGGAGGGAUGCAAGGAGGACAUUAUACUGCUUUUGCAAAAAAACAAAGAUGAUGGGAAAUGGUACUAUUUCUAUGACAGUAGCGUCUCCUCUGCAUCUGAAGACCAAAUAGUGUCCAAAGCAGCAUACGUGCUCUUCUACCAGAGACAGGACACUUUCAGUGGAACUGGCUUCUUCCCUCUUGAUCGAGAAACUAAAGGUGCUUCAGCUGCCACAGGUAUCCCCCUGGAAAGUGAUGAAGACAGCAAUGAUAAUGACAAUGACCUAAAAAAUGACCUAAAAUGACCUAAAAUAUCGGAUGUGACUGGCGUCGUCUUUGAUGUAGUUGAUGUCAUUGUUGCCUAAGUUGUUGGAACUGGAAUGUAAACAAGCACUUUUUGUGUCCCAUAAGUUGACUGUAUGCACACUAAUUAACGAAAGUCCAAGAAGCCAUAGGAGAGACUUUCCUGCUGGUGGUGUCUAUGGAGAUGAAGUUAUCACCACAAGAAACAGAAGUCUGAGAUGAGGAGUUUCAGAUACCCAAAUGUAAAUCCUUUAUCAGAUUUUAACUUGUGCAGUACUUGAAGUGAAACACAAUGAAAUCUUUAACAGAAAUUGUCUCUUAAUACAUUUACAGUCAAUUAUUUACCAGCUAAAUAUAUAUAGGAAAUCACAAAUAAAUCCCUUUUAAGUUUGCUGCUGUUUUGAUGAAUUAUGUUUUCUUUAAUUUUUUGGAUGUGACUUAAUUGAUGACAAAUGUUAAAUUUGUGG